GCUCGAGCCGGGACAGCCAUUUUCACCCACCCUCCCACACAGGUGCACCUGGUCCUCAGGCCUCCGGACUCAGACUGAAUGAAUUACAUCAGCUGCUUUCCUGGUUCCCCAGCUUGCAGAUGGCAGGUCAUGGCUUCUCAGCUCCCACAACGGGGUGAGCCAAAUUUCUGCAAUAACAGAAUUUGGCUUCAAAUCCAUCCAUCCAUCCAUCCAUCCAUCCGUGUAUGUCCCAUUGGUUCUGUUUCUCUGGAGAACCCUCGUACAUCUCCCUUUGUGUCCAUCUUUUCCCCUAAAACGUCAGCUGCCCAAGGGCAGGGAUGGUCUGGCUUGCUCACUGCUGGUUCCCUGGGGUCUAGCAUGGAGUCUGGCAAACAGAAGAUGCUCAAUAUUUGCUGCAUGAGCCCCCACUGAAUCCACACAAAAAUCUAUUGAUGUGAUGACAAUAUCACUUCAAAAUGAAGAUAAGAAGGGUACAAGUAAUUAAGAAAAUUACCCAAAGGCCGCACAGAGCUAAAUGGUAAAACUCAGAAAUGACCCUGGGACUUUUGGAUGCCGAGCUCACACUCUUACUGAAUUGGGAAAUCCCGCAUCCGCAGUGGGGCUCCACCCUGCAGCCCAGAAGCUGCCACUGAGGCUGGCCUCCUUGAAAUCCACCAAGGCUGUACGUUGGGGGUAAAAUUCCCAGGGGACCUUCUCUGUGCCUUCAAAGCCUGGAGAAGUCAGAUCUGAAGGAGCUUAUGGGGCAGCAUGGGAGGCAGGCAUCCAAGGAAAUGGAUGAUGGGCAGGAUGACAGAAGAGCUGCAUUAGGGGACUAAAUAAGUCAUGUGAUCAGGGAAGGCAAAGGAAAGGGCUGUGGAUUCUGCCUGGGGCAGAGUGGGAGCACGGCGAGGCUCAAUGCAGCAAUCUGAGCUGAGUCUAUAAGGAUGGGCAGCAUUUUAACAGGUGCAGGGGAGGGGAGGCACCCCGGUAGAGGGAAGAGCUUGAGCAGAGAGAUCUGGACGUGUGAAUGUCUGCUGGGAAUUAGACCAGCAAAGGAUUCCCCAGAAGCAGAGCAGCGUGGGGGUGGGGGUGCAGGUGGAGGGAAAUAAUAAUGCAUGGAGUUCCUGUCGUAGCACAGAGAAAACGAAUCUGACUAGGAACCAUGAGGUUUCGGGUUCGAUCCCUGGCCUCGCUCAAUGGGUUAAGGAUCUGGUGUUGCCAUGAGCUGUGGUAUAGGUCGCAGACACGACUCAGAUUCUGUGUUGUUGUGGCUGUGGUGUAGGCUGGCAGCUGUAGCUCCAAUUUGACUCCUAGCCUGGGAACCUCCAUAAGCCACAGGCCCCUUUCAGCUGCUGGAUUGGGGAUUCCAGGGGUGGGGUGCAGUCAGCUGUGUAGAACAAGCCCUCAAGGGGGGUGCUGCAGCCAGUUCAAAGGCCCUGCACUACCAUGAACUCUCUCACCAGGGAAGGGGAGGCAGCAGAGGCGGGCGGGGCAGAUCUCGGCCCAGAGGGCCCCUCCCUCUUCUGCAGGCAACUAGGAGCUGCGAAGGCUUCCGAGGCUGAAGGCUACCUCGACUAGGUUUCCCCAGCGAAUCUGCAGAAGGCUUUGUGAUAGACUAGCAUCCGUGGGACCCAAGAUAGACCAGGCAACAUAUAACCAGAGGACUGAGGUCCCCAAGGUCAGGACAGCCACAGCCCCUGCUGACAGCAAGCACCCUGUCCAUCUGCUGUGAGGUCAACGACCUCUGACCCCACAGACCCAACCCCCUCUGCAAUCCUCAGGACCCAAAGUCAUCACCUGGAAGGUGUUUGGGGACCAACCAGGAGGACUCCUAGGGAGGAAGAGCUUGCCCAGAGUCCUCCAGCAGGUGGGAAGGUGGCCUCAAAUCUGGGUCUCCCGCCUUCCAGGAGGGGGUUUGCGCAUGAUACCCACAGAGGCCAGCCAGUGCACCCACCCACUCUUCCUGUUUGCACCAGCUAUCAGGGGGUGGUGGAUCCACAUCCCACUCUGUGCUCCAAACCGGUUUUCAUGAUCCUGAGCAAUUGCCCCAACUCUCAUGACCUCGGGGUCCCCAUCCGCAAAAGGAAGAGGCUGGACUCAAUUUCGAAUCUUGCUUCUCCCCUCCCCCAAACUUUCAGCUCUCAAAUACACACUAUUGGCCUACUGUGUGCUGGAGGGGGAGCCGUGGGCAGGUGGUGCCUUUCCUCAGAGCUCAUGGCCCUUUGGUGACCAAAAACAAAAGGGGGGGGGCAAUAUUCUGCAGGGCCACAUACCCAUUCCUCGGAGCCAGGGUACCGAACCCCCCCCCCAGAUUAAAUCAAACCCAGCCCGCAUUGGCAUCAACUCAGGCUUCCUCUUUCUCCCCUGCGGCCCUGGGGCCAGCUGGGCGGAGCAAGGAGCCUUGGGCGGGGCUGGAUUCGUAGCCCUGGCUGGAGCGGGGCCUCCACUCCCCUCCUGUCCUCCCUGUCUCCACCCGGAAAGUGGCUCACACCAAGCCUCUCACGCCUCCAGUGGGGCUGCUUGGCCGAAUCCCCAGGCACUGCGAGGGUUCUGAUGGUUCUGAGGCAGGAUGUCACUCACGGCCAAAGGAAGUGGGACAGCCAGGUUCUAAAGAGCCCGAGGAAGAGCUGGGUGAGGGCGUGUGCAUGGGGGAGGGGAAGGGGAAGUAGUGCAGAUGGGGGAGGGAGAAAGCAGACAGACAGAAGGGACGAGCACUGAGAUGGGACACAGAACCAGAAAGAAUGAGAGAGAGAUGAGGGAAGACAGAGAGUCAGGGGGAGGCAGAGUCAGGGCAGAAACAUCAACAAGCCCGGAAUGGGAAAGAGAGAGAGACAGGGAGCAACCAAAACAGAGACCAAGAAGACUCAGGGAGCAGGAGCGGACUGGAACAGGAACCUUGGCUCCUGGUUCCUGGCUCCUGGUCUCGACAACCUGGACCCACGCAGGCACCAUCAGGGCUAAAGGAGUCAUUCCCCGCCCCACCCUUGGUCCAGUCUCCUGGGGCUUCAGAGAAAGAGCAGACCAUUAAGAGUAAGGCUGCUGCUGAUCUGGCCUCCUCGGAACC
rnacentral:lncRNA from 1 species